rnacentral:rRNA from 2 species
UGAGGAAUAUUGGUCAAUGGCCGAGAGGCUGAACCAGCCAAGUCGCGUGAAGGAAGAAGGAUCUAUGGUUUGUAAACUUCUUUUAUAGGGGAAUAAAGUGGAGGACGUGUCCUUUUUUGUAUGUACCCUAUGAAUAAGCAUCGGCUAACUCCGUGCCAGCAGCCGCGGUAAUACGGAGGAUGCGAGCGUUAUCCGGAUUUAUUGGGUUUAAAGGGUGCGUAGGUGGUGAUUUAAGUCAGCGGUGAAAGUUUGUGGCUCAACCAUAAAAUUGCCGUUGAAACUGGGUUACUUGAGUGUGUUUGAGGUAGGCGGAAUGCGUGGUGUAGCGGUGAAAUGCAUAGAUAUCACGCAGAACUCCGAUUGCGAAGGCAGCUUACUAAACCAUAACUGACACUGAAGCACGAAAGCGUGGGGAUCAAACAGGAUUAGAUACCCUGGUAGUCCACGCAGUAAACGAUGAUUACUAGGAGUUUGCGAUACAAUGUAAGCUCUACAGCGAAAGCGUUAAGUAAUCCACCUGGGGAGUACGCCGGCAACGGUGAAACUCAAAGGAAUUGACGGGGGCCCGCACAAGCGGAGGAACAUGUGGUUUAAUUCGAUGAUACGCGAGGAACCUUACCCGGGUUUGAACGUAGUCUGACCGGAGUGGAAACACUUUUUCUAGCAAUAGCAGAUUACGAGGUGCUGCAUGGUUGUCGUCAGCUCGUGCCGUGAGGUGUCGGCUUAAGUGCCAUAACGAGCGCAACCCUUAUCACUAGUUACUAACAGGUGAAGCUGAGGACUCUGGUGAGACUGCCAGCGUAAGCUGUGAGGAAGGUGGGGAUGACGUCAAAUCAGCACGGCCCUUACAUCCGGGGCGACACACGUGUUACAAUGGCAUGGACAAAGGGCAGCUACCUGGCGACAGGAUGCUAAUCUCCAAACCAUGUCUCAGUUCGGAUCAGAGUCUGCAACUCGACUCCGUGAAGCUGGAUUCGCUAGUAAUCGCGCAUCAGCCAUGGCGCGGUGAAUACGUUCCC